rnacentral:lncRNA from 1 species
UUUCUCUCCUCCCGUGGUCCUAAUACACAGAACAGCGACUGGGAAACUGCCACUAGAAAAAGAUGACUGUCCAACUAAAACCUGCAUACACAGCUACAUCCUUCCCUGGAAGAGCACAGUGGAACUAGAUCCUAGUACAGAUAGCACAGGGAUUGUCAACAUUCUUGUCACACUGAAAUUUCCUUCUACUGAUCUCCAAGAUUGUGCUAGGCAUCAAAGGUAAUUCCCAUUCGGCUAAGAGACACAAGGUCGGGCACAGUGGUUCACAUGUGUAAUCCCAGCACUUUGGG